rnacentral:rRNA from 1 species
CAAUAGCGUAUAUUUAAGUUGUUGCAGUUAAAAAGCUCGUAGUUGGAUUUCGGUUAAGAGCGACCGGUCCGCCGUUUGGUGUGCACUGGUUGGUUUUAACUUCCUGUAGAGGACGUGCUCUGGGUUUAACGACCUGGACUCGGAGUCUACGUGGUUACUUUGAAAAAAUUAGAGUGUUCAAAGCGGGCUUACGCUUGAAUAUUUCAGCAUGGAAUAACACUAUAGGACUCCUGUCCUAUUUCGUUGGUCUCGGGACGGGAGUAAUGAUUAAGAGGAACAGUUGGGGGCAUUCGUAUUUCAUUGUCAGAGGUGAAAUUCUUGGAUUUAUGAAAGACGAACUUCUGCGAAAGCAUUUGCCAAGGGUGUUUUCAUUA